rnacentral:rRNA from 1 species
GUGGGGAAUAUUCCGCAAUGGACGAAAGUCUGACGGAGCAACGCCGCGUGAGUGAUGAAGGUUUUCGGACUGUAAAGCUCUGUUGUUUAGGACGAAAGUGCCUGUUGCAAAUAGUUACAGGUAUUGACGGUACUGAACGAGGAAGCCACGGCUAACUACGUGCCAGCAGCCGCGGUAAUACGUAGGUGGCAAGCGUUGUCCGGAAUUAUUGGGCGUAAAGAGCAUGUAGGCGGGAAUCUAAGUCUGUUGUGAAAAUGCGGGGCUCAACCCCGUAUUGCGAUGGAAACUGGGUGUCUUGAGUGCAGGAGAGGAAAGGGGAAUUCCCAGUGUAGCGGUGAAAUGCGUAGAUAUUGGGAGGAACACCAGUGGCGAAGGCGCCUUUCUGGACUGUGUCUGACGCUGAGAUGCGAAAGCCAGGGUAGCGAACGGGAUUAGAAACCCGUGUAGUCC